rnacentral:rRNA from 1 species
ACGCUCGACACCUACGGGACAGCAGUGGGGAAUAUUGCACAAUGGGGGAAACCCUGAUGCAGCGACGCCGCGUGGAGGAAGAAGGUCUUCGGAUUGUAAACUCCUGUUGUUGGGGAAAAAGAGGAUGGUACCCAACAAGGAAGUGACGGCUAACUACGUGCCGGCAGCCGCGGUAAUCUGAGCGGGCUGGCAAGGC